AUGACCACCCACACGCCCGAGUUCCUUGGGCUAAGGAAUGGCACCGGGUUUCGGAGCCAGGCUGACUAUGGGAAGGGAGUCAUCAUUGGGCUGCUCCACAACGACAUCUAUGCGGCGCACGCUUCCUUCAAUGACCAUGGUGUUCCACCACCCCCCGCCCUCGCAAGGUGGAAGGGCUCGUGCGACGCGGCCCGGUGCAACAACAAACUUAUUGGUGCCAAGUCACUCAUUGCGGGUGAUGAUUCUGAUGACGAAGAGGGGCAUGGAACACACACCUCAUCCACAGCCGUCGAAAACUUCGUAACCGGCGCAUCAUACAAUGGUGUGGGCACAGGCACCGCGGCCGGAAUUGCCCCGAGCGCCCACAUUGCCAUGUAUAAGGUAUAUGUUGCUCGUGAUUGCAAGUUAUCUGACAUACUGGCCGGCCUAGAAGAGGCCAUCAAGGAUGGGGUGGACGUGCUCUCGCUCUCCCUUGGCAGCAGCACAAGCCCCAACUUUGAUCAAGACCCCAUAUUUAUUGGCGCAUUCAGUGCCGUGUCCAAGGGCAUCCUCAUGGUGUGCGCCACUGGCAACAGCGGUCCGAAUCAGCGCUCUGUCACCAACGAAGCACCCUGGUUGCUCACAGUCGUCGCUAGCUCCGUGGACCGGAGCUUCGGCGCCAACAUCCAUCUCGGCAAUGGCAAGAGCAUUGACGGAGAAGCACUUACCCAGAUAGCGAAUCCAAGCUCAAAGUUGCACUCUCUCCUUUACUCCAAGGAAUGCGGCUACACCACCAUUGUUACAGAUUACAACUCCAGUGUUGUACAGGUGACUGCGGCCGAUGGCGAGGCUCUCAUAGCUUACAUUGCGUCGACAAACAAUAGCUCUGUGGCGUCUCUUGCGUACAACGAUACACAGUUUGGCGUCCGCCCUGCCCCAGUCGUGGCCUCGUUCUCUUCCCGGGGACCAAGCUCACUCGCCCCCAACAUCAUAAAGCUGGACAUACUGGCACCGGGCCUCAACAUCCUUGCUGCUUGGCCGUCAAGAACGGGCCAUGGACAGGGCCCUUUCAACAUCAUAUCAGGCAUAUCCAUGGCGACGCCACAUGUCAGUGGUGUCGCGGCGCUCAUCAAAGGCAUCCAUCCUGACUGGUCACCGGCCACCAUCAAGUCCGCCAUCCUGACAAUGUCGGACAUCAUUAACGGUUCCAGCGGCUCAAUCUUGGACGAGCAACAUAGAAAGGCCAGCGUGUACGACACAUGUGCCGGCCAUGUAAACCCGUCGAGAGCUGCCGACCCUAGCUUGGUGUAUGACCUCAGUGUCAUUACUACGCUGGCUACAUCUGCUAGCUCCUUGGUGACAGCGGCCUAG
rnacentral:rRNA from 1 species